AGAUAUACGUGAAUCAUCGAAUCUUUGAACGGACAUUGCGCCCUCUGGUAUUCCGGAGGGCAUGCCUGUUUGAGCGUCGUU
rnacentral:rRNA from 1 species